AAAAGAUCGAGAAGAAACCACAAGAUAAAGACUCUGAAGACAGGGAGACAAAACAACAACAAGAUUCAGAAGUUCCAUCUCAGCCUGCCUCCCAUAGUGGUCUGACAAACCAAAUGAACCCGGCAACCAAAAGUGAACAGAAUGGCCAGGGCCAGAGCACUGGUAGCGAGAAUGACACAGCCGGUGAAAGGAGCAAAUCUCUGAGUGACACAACUUUGUAUGUUCAAAACAACACGAGUGAACAGCCUUCAAAUGAUCUAAAAGAUGAAGUGGAGAAAUUAACAGAUUCCUCUCCGAGUCUCAGAACAAACAUGGUGUGCA